rnacentral:lncRNA from 1 species
UUAUUGAUGGCCUAUCCCACACAGUCUAGACAGAUUCCCUUCAGUACUCUUCGCCAUCUUCAUCACCACCAUCCUCCGCAGACUCGGCACCGACUUCUUCGUAAUCCUUCUCAAGGGCCGCCAGGUCCUCACGAGCCUCGGAAAACUCCCCCUCCUCCAUACCUUCACCCACAUACCAGUGAACGAAAGCACGUUUCGCGUACAUGAGGUCGAACUUGUGGUCGAUUCUGGAGAAGACCUCGGCGACACUGGUGCUGUUGGAUAUCAUGCACACGGCCCUCUGUACCUUAGCAAGGUCACCUCCAGGAACAACAGUUGGUGGCUGGUAGUUAAUACCACACUUAAAUCCGGUUGGACACCAAUCCACAAACUGGAUGGUCCUCUUCGUCUUGAUAGUGGCAACGGCGGCGUUGACGUCCUUAGGGACUACG